UGUAAUAUUGUGAAAUAACAAGAAAUAUAUAUUUGGUCUUUGUCCCCAGUUCCUGGCAUUUCUGGAAUUCCACUCCUUGGAAUUUCUGGAGUGACAGGAGCACCUUUUGUUCUAAUGAGGUGACUCUUACUCUUGGUGGCCUGUGGGAGGGGGGCUGGUCACCAGAAAGACCGAGCCGUCAUGAGAAGCCUGGAACUCUCAGCUCCAACCCCCCGGGGGUGCUGGAGAUGGAGCUCAUAACUGAUGACGCCCACAUGACGAGACCUCUGUGAAAUCCUCAACUAGGAGGUUCGGAGAGCUUCCGGUUUGAGGGAAGACAAGGUGAGGACGCAGGGAGAAGACAGCUGUCUACAAACCAAGGGGAGAGGCCUCAGAAGGAACCAGUCCUGUUAGCACCUUGACCUUGGACUUCCAGGCUCUAGAACUGUGAGAAAGGUCUCGCUCUAUCACCCAGCUUGGAGUACACUGGUACAGUCUCGGCUCACUGCAACUUCCGUUUCCCAGGCUCAAGAGAUCCUCCCACCUCACCCUCC